CGCGCAUGCGCUACUUACGCUAUGACGUCAACCAUCGCGCGAACAUUCCCGUUUGACGUCGCCAUUGCUGAAUUGGAUCAAGAGAAUACUGGCUACUGGAAGAAGUCACUACGCAACAGAUUCAGGAAUUGCAGGAAGUGUCAUGAACGUGAUAAUCCAUUAGGACAAAUGGAAGCAAAAAAAGGGGACUACACCCAAACCAGACAAAGCUGCAGGCAAACACAUGUAUGGCAUAAAGAAAGUACCUUCCUGCAUCCCAAGAAGGUGAGGAUGAAGAAACGAUCAAUGCUCACAUCAAGAUGCUUCAGAAUGAAUCCAGAAAAACAAGACAGGACAGCUUGAUGAAAGACAAUCUACUAACUUUAGCCCAUAGGCGCAAGGGUAUCAUCAACAGCAACUGGACUGAAUCCUACUUGAAGGAUAUGUACCCUUACCUUUUCCAUGAAGAUGAGAGUUUGAGAGACUGUCAGAGGACCCAAUUAAGCAGAAGUUGGAAGCAGGACAUUUGAAUAUGCUGAUCCAUGACUAGAGAUAUGUAAGACUCCCAAGCAAGGUUUGGAGCUCAAAAACCGGAUCUUGGCUGCAGCAGCAGAAAAUGAAGACACCAGGAAAAUGAUCAAAUCAUGUGGAGAACUUCUGUUGAUUCCUACUAUUUUUCGAGAGAAGGCAUUGUUUUGUCAGCAUAGCCAGGAUAAAAAACGGAACAAUCGCCAAAAUCAUCUACAAAAGUAAGCCCGACAGUGCAGGUCUGACUCUGAGCAGUGAUCAUGAAAAAUUCACGGAAAUUCUGCAAUCAUCCUAUAUUACAGCAGAGAAUGAAGUCAUCUGCGAGAAAACCACCUACCUCAUGUCAGCAGUCUCUCUGCUUAUGUUGGCCCAUUAUGUAUUCAUCUGAUCAUACACCCCCAAGAUGGGUAACACCCUCACAUUCAUUCAGAAGAUUCUGAUGCACAUAGAUUCCACAUCUCAACCCUCAUCCAAGGUCGUAAGAAGCCUGUAUGACUUAAAUGCUGUCCGAAAUGCUGAUGCCAGUAGUUCUUCAGUUUAAGAAAAAUUAAUUACUUGGGUGAUGCUACUGCAACACAUCUGACCACACUUUCUCUACGUGCAAUCACCUUAGGUGUUGUAUCUGUCUUUUAUGUGCAAAAUAGAUUGAAAUAGAUACGACAGGUUGACCGUGAAUUUAGACAUCAAGUAUGUGCAUUAUUUCGCUUUGCUUCAGUACAAAUUUCAGUGGCCCUUGAAUUGGAAAUCUUUUCAUAUCCCAAGAAUUACGUAUAAAUGCUUAAUGAAAUUUUUGUCACAGAUAAAAUAGGAUUUUGCACACACAAAAA